UGGGUGACCUGCCCCAAAGUGAGGGAUACCGGCGAGAAAUCGCCGACAAGCCCGCAUAGGGUCUCUUUCGUAAGUGGGAGAGAGCAAAGGUUCUUCGAGAGGAGAGCCGCUUUGGGAUGGGCCUGUGGCCGAUUAGCUGGUUGGUGGGGUAAGAGCCCACCAAGGCCUCGAUCGGUAGCUGGUCUGAGAGGACGAUCAGCCACACUGGGAUUGAGAACGGCCCAG
rnacentral:rRNA from 1 species